rnacentral:rRNA from 1 species
UACGUAGGGUGCGAGCGUUAAUCGGAAUUACUGGGCGUAAAGCGUGCGCAGGCGGCGACAUAAGACAGAUGUGAAAUCCCCGGGCUCAACCUGGGAACUGCGUUUGUGACUGUGUUGCUAGAGUGUAGCAGAGGGGGGUGGAAUUCCACGUGUAGCAGUGAAAUGCGUAGAGAUGUGGAGGAACACCGAUGGCGAAGGCAGCCCCCUGGGUUAACACUGACGCUCAUGCACGAAAGCGUGGGGAGCAAACAGGAUUAGAUACCCCAGUAGU